rnacentral:snoRNA from 1 species
GAACCGUGCAUCAGGCAUUUUCUAAUUAGUUCCUUAAUACACUCUCAUGCUUCCUAUAAUGUCUCAUAUUUCAAUUGCCUGAACGAUGCAAUGUCAUUCCUAAGCUU